ACGGGUGAGUAAUGCCUAGGAAUCUGCCUGAUAGUGGGGGAUAACGUUCGGAAACGGACGCUAAUACCGCAUACGUCCUACGGGAGAAAGCAGGGGACCUUCGGGCCUUGCGCUAUCAGAUGAGCCUAGGUCGGAUUACCUAGUUGGUGAGGUAAUGGCUCACCAAGGCGACGAUCCGUAACUGGUCUGAGAGGAUGAUCAGUCACACUGGAACUGAGACACGGUCCAGACUCCUACGGGAGGCAGCAGUGGGGAAUAUUGGACAAUGGGCGAAAGCCUGAUCCAGCCAUGCCGCGUGUGUGAAGAAGGUCUUCGGAUUGUAAAGCACUUUAAGUUGGGAGGAAGGGCAUUAACCUAAUACGUUAGUGUUUUGACGUUACCGACAGAAUAAGCACCGGCUAACUCUGUGCCAGCAGCCGCGGUAAUACAGAGGGUGCAAGCGUUAAUCGGAAUUACUGGGCGUAAAGCGCGCGUAGGUGGUUUGUUAAGUUGGAUGUGAAAUCCCCGGGCUCAACCUGGGAACUGCAUUCAAAACUGACUGACUAGAGUAUGGUAGAGGGUGGUGGAAUUUCCUGUGUA
rnacentral:rRNA from 1 species